GCUUAAAAUCCGUUGGCUUUAUUGACCGUGAGGGUUCAAGUCCCUCUACCCCCA
rnacentral:tRNA from 1 species